GGGAGCUGGCAAAAGCUGAAAAAUCAGGACAUGAUUUCUAAACUGCCACCACUCCCUCAUUUUCAAGCCCACCUACACAAAUCUUAAAUCAAAACGUUGAGCUAUCCCUGCUGCCACUAAAAAUGUCCACAGCUAAGCCAUAGUCCUGAUAGUUUUCACGAUAUGGCCAUUUGUUUGCAACUCACGCCGUCCAUUGACAUUCAUUGAAUCUCCACUCCAGCCAGCUUAAAUUUGAAGGGCAAUUUCUAAACUGCGACUGUGCCUUCAUGUUUAAUACUUCAGAGACAUACUAUGCAUCAAAAUGUAGGUCUGGGUCUUGUGAUUCUCACAAUUUAAAGCUCUUCGCUGUAGGAUGUAUAGUUUUUAAAAUACGACCGUUUGAAGAUGGCAACCGCCAAAAUACUCUGACCUGUGCCAGGCUGGAGCAGCAAGUGAUGUCAUAGACAGGGCCUUUU